UUGAGGUGCACCCAAGUCUCAGUUGUCAUGCAAACGUCAUCAUGAGUGGCUCAGAGUCAGAGUCGAAAGGGGACGGACUUCUGAUUAUAACUGGAAUCUUGGUAGUUUCCUUUAUUCUGCUGUGGGUCCGGAUUUUGUGUUGUACCAGGGCAAGGAUCCACAUAUCUAUGCGAGAGGCGCAAACGCAGAUGCACUGUCAGGAAGGACUGCGCAUGUGCGUGAUAGUCGAACAACGACACGUUAUACGCCCUCGAGCCUACAAUUAGACGCAGACUGGACUGGACUUUUGGACUUUUAGAAGAAAACUGGUGAAAAUCGAAGAAAAAUACUCCCUGCUUGCCAAAAGUCAUUAAACUCUUUAUUAAGUUUCCUGCAUCAUGUCUUUAACUCCUGAACAAAGUCCUUUGAGCAACAAAAGUUCUAUGUGUGAUGACGAAAAUCUAAUCAAAAUUUAUAAUUUUCUUUCUAAUAUUGACGAAACGACUUUAUUUAUUCUAAAAUCAUCACCUGAUAUGUUAAAAAUGAUCAUUUUAAACAGUUUCAUUAAUGUCUUUAGUUUUUAUUUAAUUGCAAAGUACAAUACGACUUUUUUCUGGCGUAUGAUUUUUUAAAACGCCUUUUAGUCGACUAUUUUGUUUUGUUUUUAAGAUGGUCAAUAGUUUGUUGAUUUUGAAAAAUUUGAUACUAAUAUCGAGACCAAAAAUGAAAAUUCCUAAAUAUCAAAAUAUCUAAGUAUUUUUUGAAUUAUCUAACCGAACAGUACAAAUUGGACACAUAUUUAAUGAAUAGACAAGUUUCUGAUUAAUUUUCUUUAUUAUGAAAUAAAUUACAUUUUGAUAACUUAUUUCCAACUUAUUACUAUUCAGAUUUUAUAACACAGUUAUUAUCACUAUCUUAUAACGUAUAGAGAUCUAGUAUUAUUUAUUAGAUAAAAAGAUUUUGAAUAUUUUUACUUUUCGUUAAUAUGUUUUUACUAAUAUACCUAAAAUUGUUAUGAUGUAUAUUUUAAUUAUACUUAAACAUAUAUUUUAAAUACAAUUGUUGCAUUAUUUACAAACAAAAUACUCACUGCGAAUUGAAAUUAUAUUUAUAUGAAUUUAAAAUGUGUCGAAAAACACGCACAUUUUGAUACCACUAUAUUACAUAUUUUGUUACCAAUUAUCUACCUCUAACUGUACUUUUGUUAUUCGCCUAAUAUUUUAAUAAUAACAUGAUAUUUUCACAAAUAUGAAGUUUGGACAAUUUUUCCUAGUCAGUAAGUAGUUUUUUCUGAAUGUUUCCUAAGCAUAUUUACUAUUUUCUUAAUUAUAGUGAUAGGUACAGUCAGCGACAUAAGCAGUUUUAAACACACUAAAUUUCUUGAAUAGAAAAAAAAACUGAAAUAAUAUAAAUUUUACUUAAAAUGGCAGUAUUUUAACUCCUGACAAUAGAAUUGUGACAUAUUACAAAAAAAUUGGAAUUCAAAUUAAAAAAAAAAAUGCUCAACAUGGCCGAAUUUACAUUUUGUAAAAAGUUUUUUUCUUGUGCGGCUUAUAUGGCUGACUGUAUUUACAAUAUCUGGUUGUCUGUGUAGGUUGUGUAUAAAGACUGGGACACACCGAAUGCAGAUGCAAAACGUCAAUUUUAAAAUAACUUUUUGGAAAACAUGUGUACCAUCACCUUAAAGAAAAAAGGUGCACUGUACAUCAUAUGUAUUUUCAAAAAAUAGCGAAAAAGCAGUCCAUUUUGUUCUUUAUCUAUCUUUCUAUUUGGGAAGUCGGUUAACAAUCCCUCGAAUAAUCAAAACGUCAUUCAAUAAGUUGUGUUUAAAAAUAUGCCUGUCGCUACAAAAUUAGUGUUAGCGACAGAGAUAACUUGUCACUUAAACACGGCUUUACCUUUUGAUAAUUUUUUACUGUACCAUUGUUCCCAUGUAUAUUAAAAAAAAAUGAUAACAAAGCCAAAUUCAAUAGGGAGCUUCAACUCAUCAAUUAAGUUGCCAUUUCAAUAUACAGAAAUGGUUUAAAAAAUAUUUAAAUCGCUAUUGGUAAUAAUGCGUAUGUAUUUAAUAAGCUACAUUUUGUAUUCGAUGUGUCCAAUUCUUAAUUGUGUUGUAAAUUAGGUUUAAGUCUUUAGAAUUGUCCUAGCAUGAACAAAUGUAGGCACAACAUAUUUUUGUGUGCAAAUCAUCUUGAAUUUUGAUAUUCACUACACACAAGUGGUUUUUAACUUUUGGAGUUGUAACUUCAUGGCAAAAAUCGUCAAUUAAAAAAAUAGUAAUAUUAGUGCACUCGGAAAAAAAAUACACCGUAUUGAAAAUUAAAAUCUCCAUUAUACAUGAUAAUACCAAAAAUACAGAUGUUCAUGCUAGGAUUAUAGUACAAUUAUAAAAUUAAAUGUUGUUUAAAACCACUAUUCACAUGGGGUACAAAUUCCUAGCGACCUCUGUCUGGUUCAAACUGGCGACCCGUGGACCAAUACAAAAAUAAAUGUUGCGACCAUACUUAAUUAGGUGUCUCAUAAAUAAAUUUUUUAAUGAUCGAAACAUCAUACAAAAUACGGCGUUAUUUCAAGGCAUUAAAAAAAGUCUAAUCUUUUAUCUGAAAUAACUUGGUAGAUAAUAAAUAAUAACUUGGUAAGUAGUAAAUACCAUAUUUCUAACUACAAUAGUUGAGAGAGAUUUGUACCCCUAAACAAUCAACAUAUUUAAUCCGCCGACAUGCCGGUACAAUCUAGCGACCCUUGCUAGCGACCUCUGUUUUGUAAGGGCGCCGGAUCGGACCGUUGGGUCGCCGAGUUUUGUAUGAAGAUUGUGAAUACGUGGUUUAAGUGUUUGGUCUAACUGGCCGUAGAUAAUAUUAACAUUUAUGUAUGUUAUGUUGUGUUCAAAAGUUCAAGAAUAAUCUAUAGGUACUAAUAUUAUAAAGCAACAGAAACCGUUGGCAGGAUCAGGCCUAACAAAUAGUUCUAUCCAGUUUAAUGCUUGAACAUCUUGAAUAUUUUAAUUUAUAACAGAGUAAUUUUGGUCGAACCUUGUAUUCAUAACGCUAAACAUUGCCUAUUAUGUUCUUAACAUAUGAAAGUCUGAAUAUAUUUAUUUACAAUAUAGUACAUUCCACACACAUUCAAAAACGUAUUUUAGUUAAAAACUGACAAACUUACUUAUACUUUUUAAACACCCAUUUUUAAAGCAAUUUUUUAAUGUAAAAAAUCAAAUUGUGAAUACAAGUAUUUUAUUUGAUUAUUGUUGCAAGAUUUUAAUUCAAAUGUUGACUUCUUCGUUUCAAUUUGUAUUGAAGUUUUGAGUCUAUCUAUAUAUAGUCUAUAAGAAACUGUUUGUAUGUCUUGUAUUGCGUACAUCGAAUUGUAUUGUGCAAUCCACUCGUGCAAUUGUGCAAUAUCUUGUGCAAUUGCCUUGAGUAAGUUGCCUUGUGCAAAACGAUUUGUGCAAUUUUCUAAUGUUGUAUUUUCUCGUAUUAAAUAUCUAAAUGUA
rnacentral:lncRNA from 1 species